GCCCUUAGAGUUUGAUCCUGGCUCAGGAUGAACGCUGGCGGCGUGCCUAACACAUGCAAGUCGAGCGGAGUGCCCUAAGAGAAAUUUUCGAAUGGAUCUUAGAAGCACUUAGCGGCGGACGGGUGAGUAACGCGUGGGCAACCUGCCCUGUACAGGGGGAUAACAUUGGGAAACCAGUGCUAAUACCCCAUACUUCUACCGAAGGGCCUCCUUUGGUAGGGAAAGAUUUAUCGGUACAGGAUGGGCCCGCGUCUGAUUAGUUAGUUGGUAGGGUAAUGGCCUACCAAGACGAUGAUCAGUAGCCGACCUGAGAGGGUGAUCGGCCACACUGGAACUGAGACACGGUCCAGACUCCUACGGGAGGCAGCAGUGGGGAAUAUUGCACAAUGGGGGAAACCCUGAUGCAGCAACGCCGCGUGAGCGAUGAAGGCCUUCGGGUCGUAAAGCUCUGUUCUAAGGGAAGAUAUAGACGGUACCUUAGGAGGAAGCCCCGGCUAACUACGUGCCAGCAGCCGCGGUAAUACGUAGGGGGCAAGCGUUAUCCGGAAUUACUGGGCGUAAAGGGUGCGUAGGCGGUCUGGUAAGUCAGAGGUGAAAGACUAUUGCUCACAAUAGCAGCCUUUG
rnacentral:rRNA from 1 species